AGAGAGUGCAUAUAAAGACUCUUUACAGAAUAUGUUCUUCAUAUUUUUGUGUUUGCAGUGGCUUGAACACGGGCUUUACCGUUGACACUGCGUUGCUGAGGCGUCGCCGGGCCGUCUGGCUGUGGGCCGACAUCAGGACAUCGAUGUCUUCCUCCGCAUCCUCAUCAGAAAACUCCUGCAGAUGACAGCGCUCAGUUGUAAUCAAAAGGGAGGCAACGUCUGGAAAGCUGGCCAGUGCGUCUUUAUGAUUUGCUCUGUGUGGGUGGAUGCAGCCAGUUCCCGGAUUUGCUGACCCUGACCCUCCGGUUGUCGCUGGCAGUGGACAAGGUGUCCGGAGUUUGGGAUCGCAUGUUGUUAAGGACUGUGGGCAUCCCUGAGGACUCCACGGCAACAACCCCGCCCCUGAAAACCAGAAAGAUCGGAGUUCAACGACAUCAACAAGUAUCGAGCACUUGUCAAAGAGCAUUUUGCAUGAAAUCGGUCUGAAAUAAUAAGAACAGCUCUUCGUGAACCAGUGGUGGUGCAGCUUCAGAGUCCAGCAGGCUCGAUAACUGCAGGUCACUUUAGCAGAUUCAGAAAGUAAACUGCACACCAGCAUCACCACAGGCCAAACCAACAGCCCAGGUCAAACAGGCAGGUUCACAACUGGCACGUAUCAGUACCAGUGACAACAUUUUAAGAUUUGAACAGUCGUCUAACACUUGAAACAACCUGUCUGAGGUUGUUUGGCUGCGGUAGUUGGAUUUAUUUAAAUAUCACUUUAGCAGAUGUUUCAAUGUGACGGAACUUUCAAAACCAUUUACUUGAAUGCAUUUAACUUUUUCAGCCAUCGAAAACAUCUGCUCCAUUCACAUGAGGUUUUACACUGUCGUUUUUAUACUGAAGAGACUGAGGCUGCACCAACGCCGGCAGGAUGAGCUCUGAGAACAUCUGCUGUUGUCUCCGCUAAACAGGGAUCUUCAUCGACUGUUUCCAAAUCUGUGUUAAUCUUCUAAUGUGCUAUAAUAUGUGUCCACACGAGAAGACACUUUGUAUUGCUUUCGUAUACAUCAUUAUAUCAAUUUUAUUUCGUAUUAAAUCACGGUGUCACUGUGUUGUGAAUAUGAAAUGACAUUUUAAAAUGGUCAACACUUUUAUAAGUGUUUAUAAAUAAACAUAUUGAUUGACACCUUGCUUUUAAUAAAUUAUUUCUUUUAA